rnacentral:tRNA from 1 species
GCGAAGGUGGCGGAACUGGUAGACGCGCUGGACUUAGGAUCCAGUGGCGAUGAGCCGUGCGGGUUCGAGUCCCGCCCUUCGCACCA